AUGUUGUAUGAAAGGAGAGAAGGUUGGUAUGUCCCUUGACAAGGAUGCAAGAGGGUCUCAGCCCUAACAACAUGCACACAGUUAAGGCACUGCCACCUACUUACUUCAUGGCAUCUAACCAAUGUUUUUC